rnacentral:rRNA from 1 species
GCACGUCGUCGGCGCCAUUAUGCAUCCACCGUUCGCAACAGGCCCUUAAUAACCCGCAUUUCCCGAGCGUCCGCCAAAGAAUUCAGACUACACUUUCGGGGGCCGAGUUGGCCCCUCCCAGUAACCUUUGACCCUUUGAACUCACGUCUUCUCCUCUCACCUUAAGGUGCACAUCGCCACUUUACGCAUCUCUACACCUCCUUGUGGUCACCGCUUCCGCUGAGAGACCAGACAUUGACUGCGACUCCUCGCUUUCGCACCCCUCGCUUGUCCUAAUCUAUGGGACCAUCAGGUGCGGCAUUUGCUACUCACGAUUCACAAUCCCCCAAAGGCGGGGAAUCACGACGUCGAUUGCGUAAUUCGUGAGGCGGACCCCUCAUGCCAGCGUUCUGACUUUGAGUUUCCUUAACUGCCCCCGGGCGUGUUCGCCACCUCGUACACCAAAUUAAGCUUCGUUGCGCUUCUUGGAAUGGUCCAGAACUGUAGGAGACUGUUGGGAUCUCUAUCCCGAAAGGGAAGCCCCUGUCUCACUGUCCACCACGUACCAACAGCAGUCGAGCACAGCACUCUACAACCCAAUUCAGGGCGUUGCUCGCGUUGGGAACUAGAAUCAACGGUCGUAAGUCAACCCGUGAGAUUCCACUGACGGCCACUGUUUGGCCUCCUUCCACCCCUACUGCAGUUUAGUAGUACGGGGAAUACUGGACCCGAUGUGUGCACGAUGUUACCUGUCUUGUUUCCCGACGCUCUGGCGUUCCAAAUCGGUUAGGGUGUUUAGACAAGAGUCAAGCCUAGCGUCAGACGUUGAGCUGACGCACUUCGACCUUAGCGAUCAUUAGC